AGAGUGAACGCUGGCGGCAGGCCUAACACAUGCAAGUCGAACGGCAGCACAGUAAGAGCUUGCUCUUAUGGGUGGCGAGUGGCGGACGGGUGAGGAAUACAUCGGAAUCUGCCUAUUUGUGGGGGAUAACGUAGGGAAACUUACGCUAAUACCGCAUACGACCUACGGGUGAAAGCGGAGGACCUUCGGGCUUCGCGCAGAUAGAUGAGCCGAUGUCGGAUUAGCUAGUUGGUGGGUAAAGGCCCACCAAGGCGACGAUCCGUAGCUGGUCUGAGAGGAUGAUCAGCCACACUGGAACUGAGACACGGUCCAGACUCCUACGGGAGGCAGCAGUGGGGAAUAAUUGGACAAUGGGCGAAAGCCUGAUCCAGCCAUGCCGCGUGUGAAGAAGGUCUUCGGAUUGUAAAGCACUUUAAGUUGGAGGAAGGUUGUAACUUAAUACGUUGCAACUUUGACGUUACCGACAAGAACUAAAGCACCGACUAACUUCGUAG
rnacentral:rRNA from 1 species